GCGGGGGUUCCCGAGACUUUAAACAGCGGGAAUCAGGACAAAGGGGCAGGGCCGCGCUGUUAAAGCGCUGUGCCAGACUUAAGAUCCCCCUAAGGAUAAGAAAUCCUGUGGCGUAGGCCUUCGUGGGUUCGAAUCCCACCCCCCGCA
rnacentral:tRNA from 1 species